UGGAGAGUUUGAUCCUGGCUCAGAUUGAACGCUGGCGGCAGGCCUAACACAUGCAAGUCGAGCGGAAACGAGUUAUCUGAACCUUCGGGGAACGAUAACGGCGUCGAGCGGCGGACGGGUGAGUAAUGCCUAGGAAAUUGCCCUGAUGUGGGGGAUAACCAUUGGAAACGAUGGCUAAUACCGCAUAAUACCUACGGGUCAAAGAGGGGGACCUUCGGGCCUCUCGCGUCAGGAUAUGCCUAGGUGGGAUUAGCUAGUUGGUGAGGUAAUGGCUCACCAAGGCGACGAUCCCUAGCUGGUCUGAGAGGAUGAUCAGCCACACUGGAACUGAGACACGGUCCAGACUCCUACGGGAGGCAGCAGUGGGGAAUAUUGCACAAUGGGCGCAAGCCUGAUGCAGCCAUGCCGCGUGUGUGAAGAAGGCCUUCGGGUUGUAAAGCACUUUCAGUCGUGAGGAAGGUAGUGUAGUUAAUAGCUGCAUUAUUUGACGUUAGCGACAGAAGAAGCACCGGCUAACUCCGUGCCAGCAGCCGCGGUAAUACGGAGGGUGCGAGCGUUAAUCGGAAUUACUGGGCGUAAAGCGCAUGCAGGUGGUUUGUUAAGUCAGAUGUGAAAGCCCGGGGCUCAACCUCGGAAUAGCAUUUGAAACUGGCAGACUAGAGUACUGUAGAGGGGGGUAGAAUUUCAGGUGUAGCGGUGAAAUGCGUAGAGAUCUGAAGGAAUACCGGUGGCGAAGGCGGCCCCCUGGACAGAUACUGACACUCAGAUGCGAAAGCGUGGGGAGCAAACAGGAUUAGAUACCCUGGUAGUCCACGCCGUAAACGAUGUCUACUUGGAGGUUGUGGCCUUGAGCCGUGGCUUUCGGAGCUAACGCGUUAAGUAGACCGCCUGGGGAGUACGGUCGCAAGAUUAAAACUCAAAUGAAUUGACGGGGGCCCGCACAAGCGGUGGAGCAUGUGGUUUAAUUCGAUGCAACGCGAAGAACCUUACCUACUCUUGACAUCCAGAGAACUUUCCAGAGAUGGAUUGGUGCCUUCGGGAACUCUGAGACAGGUGCUGCAUGGCUGUCGUCAGCUCGUGUCGUGAA
rnacentral:rRNA from 1 species